AUUGAACGCUGGCGGCAGGCCUAACACAUGCAAGUCGAACGAGUGGCGGACGGGUGAGUAAUGUCUGGGAAACUGCCUGAUGGAGGGGGAUCACUACUGUAAACGGUAGCUAAUACCGCCUAACAUCGUAUGUGCCCAGAUGGGUUUAGCGAGUAGGGGGGGUAAAGGCUCACCUAGGCGACGAUCCCUAGCUGGUCUGAGAGGAUGACCAGCCACACUGGAACUGAGACACGGUCCAGACUCCUACGGGAGGCAGCAGUGGGGAAUAUUGCACAAUGGGCGCAAGCCUGAUGCAGCCAUGCCGCGUGUAGGAAGAAGGCCUUCGGGUUGUAAAGUACGUUCAGCGGGGAGGCGUUACCCGAAGAAGAAGCACCGGCUAACUCCGGGCCAGAAGCCGCGGUAAUAC
rnacentral:rRNA from 1 species